rnacentral:rRNA from 1 species
UACAGAGGGUGCGAGCGUUAAUCGGAAUUACUGGGCGUAAAGCGCACGUAGUCGGCUUUGCAAGUCGGGUGUGAAAUCCCCAGGCUUAACCUGGGAACUGCAUUCGAGACUGCAUUGCUAGAGUAUGGGAGAGGGAAGUGGAAUUUCCGGUGUAGCGGUGAAAUGCGUAGAUAUCGGAAGGAACAUCAGUGGCGAAAGCGACUUCCUGGACCAAUACUGACGCUCAUGUGCGAAAGCGUGG